rnacentral:tRNA from 1 species
GCUUGGCUGGCUCAGUUGGUGGGGCAUGAGACUCUUGAUCUUGGGAGUUGUGGUUUCGAGUCCCACACUGGGUA